rnacentral:lncRNA from 1 species
UAAUAUUGAUAAUAACCGGUGCGACUACAACAAACUGCAGUUUUGCAAUUAUAGAGAACUAUGACUUUUCAUCAACCAAAGUCGGCGCUGCGUAAAAAAAUAAUGUCGAAGAAUUGCUAUAAGUACUCAUUUUUUAUAGCUGUUGGAAGUGUGACUCUUGAAAAUAAAUAAUAUACGAUAAACAAAAAAGAAACCGUAAGAUUAUUUUACAUCACUUUGGUCUUUACGUCUGAAGAUUUGUCUCUACUCAUAAUAUUAUAGUAGGAGGCAUUAGAUGUUGCUUACUAUACUGCUGUAGUUGUUCUUCUAUGAAUGUUGAUAAACCAAAAGAUUCUGCAUAAUGUGAUAUUUGGAUGUAAUUCUGAACAUUGGAUGAGAUCAGACAAAGAAACUCUGAUUAGAACCCAUAAAUUAUGUUCUAAACAUUUCACGAAGAAUUUCACAAAAAAUCCAAAACAAAAUAGACUUGCCAAAUGCAAUUCUGACAUUGUUUGAAACAAUUUUCUAUUUAAACCGAAAAUUCAGCGCAUGUGUCUAAUUCUCAAUAUUCACACUUGAGUCGUAUCUGAAGUGUCGAUUGAAACCGUUUCUUCAGGUGCUCAAACUCCAAAUUCUUUAUCUGCCAAAUAUUUCCACAGAAUCGUUAAUUGCAAAAAAAACCUUUCCGAUUUUCUCAGCUCAAAUAAAGAAGUUUGAAAAACAAUAUUGGUGAAGAGACGUUCAGUAGAUACAACUGUUCUCAACCAUAGGGUCGCCAAAAAAUUAGUUAUAAUAAUAUUAUUAACAUAUUAAGUAAUAUGAGUAAAAAAAAAAUUAAUUAAUUAAGUGUAAUAGAGUUUCUUUUAUUUAUGGAAAUUGAUAAUAUUGGUCUUUAUGUAAAAACCUUUAUAACUGGUCAAGGAUUAUUUUGCCAAGAUUAUUUUCAACAUUUCCCUGGAGCAAAUUGUAUGGAGACCUUGAUCAAACUUUACAUAAAAUGAAUGACUAACCUCUAUUAAUAUUUUCAAUGUAAUAAGUCCUCAUCAACAAAAUAUUUUUAAAUUAUAUUCAAUUGUUGUACAGUAGAUUAUAGAUUAUAAGCAUUUAAGUAUAGUAGAAAACAUGCUUUCACAAUUUCACAUACGUAUGUGGAUAUUUAAUAAGUAUUAUUAUUAUUAUUAUUAAUAAUAUGUAAUAAGUUUGGAGAAACAUGUUUGUGAAAUUUGUAUCAAUUAUGCUAACUAUCUUAAAUUAUUAGACUGGUCUUUUUUACUAUCUUUCUUUAAAUCUUAUUCUUAUUCUAACAACUCAGCUUACUUAGUUAAUUAGUACACCCCAUGACAAUUUUCACUAUUAUUCUAUAGACUUAGAACAUAUUUUCUGGACAAUUUUUGCAAUAGAAGAUGUUGUUAUGCCUCAAUUAAAACAUUUUUUUUUAUUAAUUUUGUAAUAUUGUGUCAUUUAUGAAAUUAAUUUUAAUUUUUUACC